rnacentral:misc_RNA from 1 species
CCGGCGUUCCUCAGUCUGUGCGGUUGCGUCUGAUACUCGUGUUCGGUACGCUAGAUCACGUGCGUCCUCAACAAAGGGGCGAGAGGGAAUAAGGGACAAGCGAUGUCGACAUUACCGUUCCUCGAGCGUGUCACUGCGGCGGCAACAUCGAAUUGUUGCCCUCGGAAUGUGUGAAAGUCCUCCAGGAUUAUCGCUGCAGCUGGAUCCAUGAUUGCGGUGCAAAAUGGUGGAUCGGCAAAAGGCGCUUCUAAUAGUGUUAUUGGCGCUCUUAAUCUAUCCAAACGAUAUCUUCGGUGGCGCGUUCCAGCCCGAAUUCUCCGGCCCUAUCGCCAAUCUAACUAUAACUCUCGGGAGGGACGCCACUUUCACGUGUCACGUGAAACAUUUAGGAGGCUACAGAGUCGGCUGGGUGAAGGCAGACACGAAGGCGAUCCAGGCGAUACACGACCACGUGAUCACGCACAACCCGAGGGUGGCUGUGACUCACAGCGACCACACGAUGUGGAACCUUCACAUCAAAGGUGUCCAGAUAGAGGACGCCGGUCUCUACAUGUGCCAGAUCAACACGGAUCCCAUGAAGAGUCAGACAGGUUUGCUGUCAAUUGUUGUGCCACCUGAUUUCAUCUCUGAAGCUACAUCAAGCGACGUAAUGGUGGGCGAAGGUGGUCAGGUGAAGUUAACGUGCCGGGCGAGAGGCAUACCACCGCCGCGCAUAACGUGGCGCCGAGAAGACGGCAAGGACAUUAUAAUUCGGGAGCCAUUUGCAGGAAGCGCCCCGAACCAGAAGUUGCAGGUUUCAAUCGUGAAUGAGUUCUUUGGCGAAGAGCUGAAACUGAUGAAGAUCUCGAGGAACGAGAUGGGAGUUUAUCUGUGCAUCGCCUCCAACGCGAUUCCGCCCACGAUCAGCAAACGGAUUUUUCUCAGCGUUCAUUUUCCGCCUGUGAUUCAAGUACCAAAUCAGCUGCUCAGUGCGCCCUUGGGGACCGACGUGAUUCUGGAAUGUUUCGUUGAAGCAUUCCCGAAGUCGAUUAACUAUUGGGUCAAGGACAAGGGUUCGAUGCUAAUAUCUAGCUUCAAACACGAUGUCAAGGUGAUAGAGAAGUCGCAAUUCGAGAUCCAAAUGGUCCUCAUCAUCCGGUACUUGCAGAAAUCCGACAUGGGAACGUACCGAUGCGCGGCCAAAAAUUCCCUCGGCGAGGUCGAGAGCAGUAUUCGAUUAUACGAGAUCGUCAGCCCCGGGAGGAUAGUCACGAAGGCGAUGCCGCCGUUCUAUGAGGACGUGACCGUGACGGCGCAGGACACGGCGGAGAUGGACAAGACGAAGAACGAGCUGCUGAUGGUGGACGAAACGGUGCGCGGCCACGUCUUGGGUUAUCCGGUGCUCGUCACGCCACCUUCGACAAUUCGCGUCGCCAAGAAACGACCCGCGACCAAGACGAGCUCGGGCGCAGAUCCACGAGGGUCCGCCGUCGUUCUGUCGUCAGUAGUGUCACUGAUGAUGAUCGUAUGCCGAAGGUGGUGGCCGUGCUGGUGGUGAGAAACGAAACGGGGAAUCCCAAAGGAUCGUGGAAGGACUGCUGUUAGCUCUCGCGAUCGUCAUGGCCCGAUCUCGGCGACAUCGCGUAACUCGCCUUCGAAGAAGAUCGUUAUACGUGUGACCAACAAUACCUAAUCAAUGGAUCGGGAGAUCGCAGAAGGGAUGAACCAAGUUGGGACCGAAGACGGAGACGCGCAUCGCGCCAGGCGUAUCUUGAUCGUUUUUGCUUGGAUCAAGAAAUCAAUCGGUGAGUGCUGAAUUAAUUAAAGCGAGAUAUCGUAUUCGCGGUAGAAUUUGGGUCGAUCCUAUUUUCAAUGUUAUAAAUAGUGUCCUAAAUUUUCUUCUUUUCUAUGCAAAGGUAGACUCGAAUAAUCUCAUGAUUACCUUAUAACGAGCAGAAUAUUUUAGCAGCUAUUUAAGAGAUUUUCUAAGCUUUAAUACGUCGCGAUAUAAAUCACUUUCAUGUAAAACUGAUUGCUUUCAUAUUUUAAUACGUAGAGAAGAAUGUUGCAUACGUUUGAAUCAAAUGGUGAAUGCUUGAUUGAUUAAGAUACGCUUAGCGGAUGAACGACGUCUAUGAUACUUAACGCCAUAAUAAAAGAAAAAGAUAGGCGAUAGGCGUAAAACGUAGGAAAGGAGACAACGAAAUGGUAGAAGCCAGAAAGCAGAUAGACACAAAAAGGACGACGCGAGCAGAGAGAGAGAGAGAGAGAGAGAGACAUAUCUCGACGUUAAAAGUCCUCGAUAAUAUUCGCGCGGAUCGAAGGACCAGGUACGUAACUCCUCAGUUUCGGCGGCAAUAAAUUUGCGUGAUGUGUAUAUAUGUACGUAUAUCAUAUAUUGCCACGCUCGCACGUGUAUAUGUGUGCAUACUGACACGUCAGGGUAACUAACUAACACGUUCGUGCCACCCUUCCCCAUCCUACCCCUCCGUUACGCUCUCGAAUCGCGUGCGAGCGGCGUAGCGUUCCGUAGAUAGAUCCUCACGAUUACGCCGGUGUAAUAGAAUAUGUAUCGCGACUUAAAUGAGUAUAUCGACAGCUUUAAACGAGUUCGAGCUGGAAGUAGCAAGGCGUCGCGCCGUGUCCGUCGUAGACGGAUCCGCCCGAUAUCUCGGACCAAUCGAUUACGGACGAGUGGUCCGAAGUUGUUCGCCACAAAAUGCCCUGAUCACGGACGCGCGAUCGCGUACCUGUCCCUCUCCCGCUAACUUUCUUAUCUUCUCAUCGACGGAUCUUUUAUGGCGCUCUCGACAGCGGUUCUCGACAGUAAAACUCGCCAGUCAACAUGGAAUUGAGCGCUACUUUCGCGAAACGUUUAUUUCAGAGCUUUACUUUUACCGAAUUGCGGCCCUCGAUAUCAAAACGCUCCGAACGAUAGCAGUCCAGUGAAGAGUCAUAUUCGAUGACUGUUUGCAGUUUUACUCGCGAGAACGGCCCUCGAUGUUAGAAUUUACCGAUGAAAAUAAAAUUCAGCGCGACAUUUUCAACGCGGAUAUUUACUUGCGAACUUUAUCCUUUAACAGCAACUGUCGAUCAUAUGGCUCCAGAUUUAAUCUAAACUUAACUUGAAAGUGACGCUGAAUAAGCAUCCACUUGAGAACUGAAAGUUGUUCUGUAAAAAAGCAAAAGCUACAAAGUAAUAAAAUUCUGGAGAGUACACUUUGCAAUGUUCAUUCAAUGUAUCGUUAGAAAUACGUUCAAGAUAUUUUUUUUAUAUUGAUUGAAUAACUUAAAUUAGCGUUAAUAAAAUAUAAAAGUCUGUAAUUUUUCGACAUUAAUCGACUUAAUAAUAAUCACUUAAUAAUAAGACAAUAUAAAACUGAUCUUUCAUGUUCUAAUGUAUUAUAUAUUACAUAUAUUACAGUUAAAAUUGAUAAACGAUAUCACGAGUAUUGCAAAGUGACAUUCGUAGAUCGAUUAUACUUUUAUUAACUUCAUGCUUAUAUUAUUAAUGAAAUGAAACUUUUUUUAUAAUAAUAAUACCAAAAUAAAAUUUUUGAUGAUGAAAUAAACUAACAAAAUUAUAGUAAAAUCACUCGAUAUAUAUUAUAUAAAAAGUAUGUACGACAAUAAUGAUGUUGUCCGAACAUUGCGCAUGAACUACAAAUUUUAAUCAUUUAGGAGCAAUUCAAUCAAAACACGGCAAGAAUCAAUACAAAAUUUCUUCGAUCGCGCGUCCUAUGGUCAGGUACUGUAUAUCCGAUCACUCGUUUCCGAUGUGAGUGACUAAUAAUCGUUCAUUAGGCCAACGCGGACAAACUUUUCUGCCGCGCUUCGAACAAAUGUGCAAAACACAUGUACGAUGGAAAGAGUGCAAGAAAGAAACCAAGCAUGAAAGAGAGAAAGAGAGACAAUGUGCAUGCGUGAGAGUGAUACUAAUUAUAUUUUUAUAUUUCCAGCGUAGCGUAUUUACGUUCCGUAUCGAUAGAUCCUUUAAUGAUGGUCAGAGCUCUAGUCGGCCAUUCCAUUUGCUAUCAUGACAUUCGGUUCUCGCAAUGAUUUCUCUCUCUCUAAUUGAUUGAUGUGACUACAGCAUAGAUCUGGACGAGUCAAAAUUGGUCGUGUCUACUCCUGCUUUUCCAUUGUUGAACGCGUCAUCGCAAAGUGGAUCCAGAACGAUCGUGGAUAAUAAAAUCGAUCGCAUCGGCUGCCGCCACGCACCGCUCGCCACGACAGUUGUAUUCACUUGCCAAAAUAAAUCGGUCAUUCCCGCGGGCGCGCUCGAUUUUGGGAGUUUUGUGGCGACUGAAAUUGUGUCUCGUUACGCUUCGCGGUUCGUUUUCGAAACUCACCGACAGGUCUCUCGCAGGAGCGCCGUACGUGCCCAGUCUCCGAUAAAAUUUAUUUAUACAUUCGUGUGUUUCUCGAGCGAUUUGUCCUUCACAAUCGGCCACACAUUAAUUACUAAUUACUCUUAAAUUAUCGAAAUUGUUCCUCGAGUGGAACACGACGGGAAAAUUAAUUCUUUCAUUGUCCAUUGUGUUCCGAAUUACAAUCAUUGAAUCUUAAUUUAAUCCGUCAUUAUUCGAGAUCUUCAGACAGUUCUCGAGCUCGCUUGUUUUCAUGUAAGAACGCGACAAAUAAGUUAUUUUCGCGAACUCGAUCGACUCGAAACAAUGGAGCUAGCCGAUCCGCUGGCUGUCCGCGACAUUGACUCGAGUUUUUAGACACGUAUAGAUCAAGAGCCUAACGUCCGAAGCCUUGUUGUCACCGUGUUAGUCGAAUUAUCUGAGGGAUUCAAAGGAAAGCGAGGUCUCGGGAACAUUAUUAGAGCUUUGUCAGCGCUCGCGUAAAGAUCGAUCUCGAACCAAUUCGAGUCUCGGCCAACUCUCAACUCGCUUCGCUGUUGAGCCGCUCUCUCAUUUCGACGUCCGAAGCGUCUGAACGCUCGUCAGGCGCGCGUCAUCGAUUCGCCGCUGCACACAAACAUAUUCUGUGUCUUUGACGAACUGCCACCUCGUGUAUCGGUGCACGCGUGAAAGCUCGCCGAAACCGACGCGAUCAAGAAAUCCGCCGCGUCAUUCCGGCGCCGCAAGUGUUGAAGAUCUCCGAUCUGCGCCUAGUUCGACUUGGUGCACGAAUUGCAGUGAAAUAAACUGACCGUUGAGUACACAAGAGUUCUCUCUCAACCUGUAACUCCCUCUCCCUCCAUACGCUCGGAAUCAUCAGGGCUCCGAGAGCACAGUCUCGCGCUCAACGCUGGGCGGUUCCGGUAUCACAAAACACAUUGCAUUUUGAGAAUGAAAAUUAUAACAUAAUUUCUAAAUAUUAUGCAUAAUAUCGAAAUAGAGAUAAUGUUAUAGAAAAUAUGUUUCAAUGUUGACGUGAUUGACAAGGCUUCGCUGACAUCGUUUCGUAUAAACUAAUCUUGUUUACCCAAAUCGUUGCGCGUUUUAUUCAUUUUAUUUAUUUCGCAGUUUAUAUUUUAUUAUUGAUAAUUUUCCGUCACAAGAACUGGAAAACCUUGCAAAUAACAAGAAUCUCUUAUUGGAUGCAUCGUGUAAUGAAAACGAAUGAUAUUUCAGAAAGACGAUUACAAUUUUUUCAUCGUUAUCCCCAAUCGUGCAUUCCUCUGAAAUAUCUCGUCUGAUAAAAUUGUCGCUCGCAACGUUUUUCCGAGGAGUCCUUCAAUUAACCGAUGGCCUGUCGUGCGUUCGAUAUUAAAUAUGCGACGUACCUCACAUUCGUCAUCGCACAACCACCUCGAAAUGGUCAGUCGGCAGCAAAAAAAAGGCCGGUUCGCCUCGCGGAACUCAAGAGUCCUCAUGAGAGCCAAUGAAUGGUCGCUCUCUCCACGACCGAAAAAAAAAUCGCGGCGCUUCUCCCCCGGUCGGGGCAAAUCGCGCUCGUUUGCGACACGCCGCCCGUACCCUGCGAGUACGAGGGUGCUUUCGCUCCCUCUUUAUUUCGUCGGCGGGAAUUCUCGUUCCGGAACGAUUAUCGUCCUUCUCCGGCGACGAUGGCGGGACAACGACAGAGGGGCGGGUCGGCUCCUCUCUCUUUCUCGGUCACCGUGAGAAAUUAUAAGGGCGAAUCCGCCUUUAAGGACUACGAAGAAGAUCUUAGUUCCUCCAUAAAUAAACACAACUGCCCGCGCAGCUGGCGCGGACGUAAUUCAUCGUGAAUUAAUUUAAGGGCCACCGCCAUCUCCCGCGGCCCUCGCCGCCCUCAUCCACCAUCUCGAAUCCUCCCCGUCCCCUCCCGCUCUUCUCAGCCCCGUCUCUCAUCCCCUCGCCACCGGCCGCUUUCAUUAGAAGGCCCGCCGUGCCGAGGCCGCGCCAUUUGGCGGCUCUCCGCUUUAUGCUGAUUUUAUUUCCCUUCUUUUGCGGGUAUCUCGGGUGGAGUAAUUGUGCGCGGUAUUAUCAUUCACCGCGGCAUCGUGUUGUUCGGCCGCGUGAGAUAUCGGUCCUUCGAAUCGGUCGAAGGCAAAGCGAAGAGGAUAUCACACGGUUCGCCGCAGCUUCCUGCCUCUUCUCAUCCUCGUCACCUACAUUCUCAUCGUCGUCGUCAUCAUCGUCGUCGUCGUUGUCGUCUUUGUUCGUCGUGAUGCCCAACGGCGUCAACGACUCCUUCCUACGACUUCCAAACGGUCUUGCCGUUCCGUUUGAACUACGGCGAGAAGUCAUACCUGUAAAGUUGCAGCUGCAGCAGCACCUUCUCACACCGGUCCUCAGCCGUCUUUCUCCGUAUGGUUGCUCGUAGAUUUCCGUCUCCCACCCACGCUUCCACCCUCGGCCGCUUGCUUAAAGCGUCGGUUACGCUUAUUAAAAUCCCGUGAAGUACGACGUGUAAGCUCGUCGAGAGAGAGAAAGGGAGAGAGAGCGGGGAGAGAGAGGGAGAGAGAGAAAGAGAUCGAGGGUGAGAGGAAGUGGUGUGUGUACAGGAGACGCGGUUAGUUUAUCGCACGCUCGGUUCGUUUCGUCAUUUCGACGCCUGAUGAAGGAUACAGUUCCAAAAGGCUCAACAUGUUGCAACGAGAACGAUCAAUGAAAUUUCACGACUCAUCGCGAUAUAUCAGUGUUCCAUACGUCCUACGUUAAUAUAUUAAUAUAUGUUUUCGUGUCGCUGUGGAUCUAUGGCAGUGCUCUCGUUAUAUUGGAUUGCAACAUACAUUCGUCCUGUGGUUUUAGUGUUUUUAAUAACGAAUAUAUGUUACAACCCACAUUAUUAAAAAUACUAAAUCAAUAGGACGAAUAUAUAUUAUAUAAUCCAAUAGGAUAACUAUAAUCGUCUUGUGUGAAGAUAAGUAUAAAAUUCCAAAUUUAUUAAGACAUUAAAGUUAUAUUUAUUCCGAGAUCUGGAAUACUAUAAUUUAUAGACUUUUGAACUUAUCAGUAUAUUUUUAUAUUUUAUUACUUUUUCACGUUGAUUGCAAAGUCUAGUAAUGGUUUGUCUUGUGUUUAACGCUUGAUAUAAGUUGACUCUUUAACUGCGAUUUUUUUAUAAUACGAUCGAACAGCUUUGAGAAGUUUGUUUUAUGAGGUUUAAGUGGGUCGAUUGAACCGAUGUAAAGUUUUGAGUCUUGGAGGAGGGGAAUUAGGCAACUUCCUUUUAUCUGCGUGAAUUAUCGCCUCAUUGGAUCGUCCCUUCUUAGCAUUCACUUUGUCUUUGUGCAAACAAUGUUGCAUUUUUAUCUUUUGAGCUUCAUAAUAUUCUGUCGAUAUAUAUUUUCUGCAGAUCCUUAUUUUUCUUGACAUUGUUUAUUUGAUACUUUAUUUGAUUAUUUUCAUAAAUAUUUUUUGCUGCAGAUGUCGAUAUAUUCUAUAUGAUUCCUGAACUAUCUUCAUUUUUUGGUGCCGCUGUUGCCACGCUUAUCUUUUUCAUGGUCCUUCUUUUAUUUACUUUAGUUUCGUAGCGUGGCUUGUUCUGGCCGUUGGUUUUUUUACGUUUAUUGAGUCAUAAAUAACAUCAUAUCUUUUUUAUCGAAUGAGAAAGCAUUGUUGCAAAAAAGUACAACAAUUCAAAUAUACAUUUUAGUAUUUUUACGAUUUUCUUGCAAUAAUUUUCACAAUCUGUUAAUUUCAAUAUCGAAUUUGUAUAGAAAGCAAUCGAAGCAAAACUAUUAUAAUAUUAUAAUUGUUAAAUAUUAUUUAUAAAUAUGUAUUUAUCAUUUCUGUUUAACAUUAUAUUUUUAUUAAUUAUAUUUUACAAAUAAGAAUAAUAUAAAUCAUACACUAUAUUAUAAUAUAUAUAUUGCAAUUUUACUUUUAAACAAAGGGAAAAUUUAAUUCUUCGCUUAUCCAUGGAUAUAAAUGUUUACGAAAAAUUAAAGAAAAAAGUACAAUUAAGAUAACUGGCUUAUAUUUAAAAGUAUGAUAGAAUCUUCUUCUCAGCUUAUAUUAUUCACUUUUACGAGAGUGAACUGCGACAUUACGACAUGGACAUUCGCUCUUUCGAUCCCUAAGCCGUUACGGAACAAUCGGAGUUCCGCCGCACUUAUUUUCCGACUUUUCCUUUAAGUUCGGUGACGGACAGUAUCGAGAUACAGUUUCCGAAAAACAAAAUGUAUUAUGGAUGUUUCCCGGAAAAAAACAUUCUCGCGUGAGAGAGCUGCCGAUGAAUUUUCUACGUAGUGGGAUACGUGGCCGGAAGCAACCCUCGAAAAUCCCUAAGUCGCCCGUCGUGGAAGUUAUCACUUGACAGUUAUAUGGCAGCUGUACGUCACUGUUACUCGGCGAGUCUUGCGGGCAGCUUCCCCCCUUUUGCUCUUCCAAACACUCCCUCUUUCCAGACUGCAAUAUCAGACAAUACGAGAAAAUGGAACUUUUUGAAUACAUGGAGAACUGUUAAUGGUAUGCAUGAUGCGAGAAGUGAUGAUGUCUCACCCAUUUUAAAAACUUUCCAACCCCACAUUCCUCACCCUCUCUACCGGCGCUGCUAAGCUUUAGCAUCGGUAUCGUAAGUACGUAUUUUAUCUGACAUCAGAAGAGCCGAGGUAUGAAACAUCUGUAUUUAUAUCUUUCAAAUAUAAAUGGAUAUAAUUUUAGAUCAAAACGCGACGUAAAUAUCUUUAAUCUUUAACUGGAUGCUUAACUUAGAUUAUAAAUCAAAUUAUACAAUCAUUAUACAAUCAUGCUUUAUUUACAUGCAUUCAUGAUCAUUCAUGUGCUGACGUAUUGCAUCGGAAUAUAUUAUAAAUGUUACACAUUUAUUUGUAAACUUGAAGUCCACAAAUGUCCAGAGGAUUAGUACUACGCUUUUUUUUUCUUUUCUAUUAAAGAAAUUUAACUAAAGUUCCUGUGAAGCAAGGACAGAGUUCGGUUUUUGAAUACGAUACGCAUAGAUACAGAUAUAGUCGCGCCGGCUCUUCUGAUAUUAACCGCACGAAGUAGCUUUCCUGUUGAGUUUCGACGUGGCAUGUCGUAUACUUUUUGCAUGGCGCAAUGAAAGUUGAACGCGAUUGGAAAGUGGAAGGCGUUCCUCAUUUUGAUUUAUGUGAUGAUCGAAGUAUCCCAGAACCAUUGGUACAGGUCCUACGGGAGUACCUCACGAGGCGGAAAUGUGCUUUAGAAACUUUCCACGAAACAUGUUUAUGCGCUUCUCGACGGGUGUACAAGACACUGAUUAACCGGAUUGCAUUGACCUCGCUCAUGAACGAGAUCGGUUUGACUUUGCGCAUGAGGAAAGAAGACCGUACUCAUCGUUGUUAAAUAGGCGACAAUUUCCCACGCCUGAACGAACUCAUGCGAGUGUUGUCUUAUGGACACUGCUCGUAUGAGCGCGUACUCGAUUGUUAACAGCGUAUAUUGAGCGCAAGGCUAUCACCCUGUAUAAAUAAUAUUCGAGAAGUCAUAGUUGGCGCUCGACAUGACUCUACGAUGGCAUCUUUCCUUUCCUGGAGUGCGCGAUGUAUAGUGUCCGCAUAAUUUUGUAUAGCUGUACGUACGCGCGCGAACUCGAUUGUUACGAAUGCAAGCGAAGAUUAAUUAAAGGCUAAAUGAAGAGUGUGAGAAAGGCGGAUUGUAUAAAUAUAAUCGUCUAAGAAGGUAGCGAAAAGAGUAAUACUGUAAAUAAUUGUGAACAUACAAUUGUAACCAAAUCAUUCACGGCGGAAUAAAAACGAAGCUUCGUGUCGCAAAUGAAGCUGCCAAUAAAAUAUUA